GAAAGGAAGUGCUGCUCGCUGCACACGUAUGUACGCUUCGCGGCGCGUCGCCUCUCACCGCCCCACGCUUUCUCGAUUAUUAGCUGGUUUUGAAUCACUCGCAGCUCACCGCCGCCCCCCCCUCCCCUCCCUCGUUCUGCAGUGCGUCGUUGUGGGUGUGCGAGUGUGUAAGGAGUCGCGUCUUUGCGUCGCCACGACCACUCUAGCAAGAGCAUAUCUGUACACUCUUCGGAGCCUUGCCCGUUGUGCCUGUGCGCGUGUGUAGCUCAUCUUGUCUCCGCUUCCCUGGCUGUGCACGUUGCGAUAACAAUUUCUCGCUACUGUGAUGUCCGCCACGACGUCCGCGCGUCCGCCAGGGCGACGCUCUACCCAAAUGUACGGGGUGCCGUCUACUAUGACACCCGCCGAUGUCGCCAGUGCAGCAGGAGCAACAGCGGCCCCGCCCUCAGAGGCCGCCUUCCACGCUGUCCUGCCUGCUGAGGAUGGCGGCGUGUCGCCGCGCGGUCACAACCCUCCUCGGAUGCAGUACAAGUUUAUCUCUAAGCCACCGAGCCCGCAGCCCGCCUACAAUCGCAUCGCCGACGUGAGCGUGAAUGUCGCGGGCAGCAGGUCGCCGGCUGCUGCUGCUGCUGCGGCUGCUUCCACUAUGACCAUUCGUGGGCUGCGAGGGCGACUGAGCGACGGCACUGUUCACCGCAAGCCGUACCCCUUUACAGCGGCGCAGCCAAGCGCAGGAGGGCACAAGGGCACGGCGCGGCCGCUGCUGUCGCGCCACGGCCGAUGCCUCUCUCGCGCGCGCACAGGUAUGGCAGUCUCAGCCUUGACAGCGGUGUCUUCUGCCUCGGGUGCUGGAGCCGAUACGGCGACGACGGAGUCGACGCGCAUGGUGAAGGAGGCAUCGCUGCGCAAUACGUGGGCGGCAAACUUCAACAACACCGCGACUCUGCGCGAGACGGUGAGCACGAGUAACGGGGCCUACACCGCCUUCGAGGAGGAGCUCGUGCGAGAGUUGAACGAGUUACGGCGUGCGCCGGCGGCCUACGCGGCGGUUGUCGAGCGAGAGGCCACGAUCGGUGCUCCGUACGUCCAGGAGAACGAUCUUUACUUCUGCGACGAGAGCGCGGCCGAGAGCGCGGCCGUGGAGUUGCGCCGCCACCUGGAGGAGCAGUACUGCCCUGUGCAAUGCGAGGUGGCAUCCACUGCCAGCUCCGCCGUGUCGCGGGCUAUGAUGCAAGCCAUGUCGCCGAAGAAGGGUAUGCAAGCCGGUCAGGAGAAGCGCAGGAGCAAGAAGGCUCUCGACGGUCCCCCAUCAUCUCCAGCGCUGUCCACGGGUGUUGGUGCGAGCAGCACCGCGCGACGGCGCAGCGGUCGGCCAUCGCCAGCACCCCAGCGGCACACCACGGGCUCAGGGGCUCCCCACGGCGGGGGUGGGCCGUCGCCGCGGCGGUGUACGAUCUCGUCCGAUCUCCCCGGCGGUGGGGUUACGGUGGCGGGUGUGUCUGCUCUGCACGCGACCCCGGCAACGCUGCGCAAUCAAGGACUGCAUGAACUGACCCUCUCUCAGCUGCGUCAUCAGUUUCGUUGUCAGCAGCGCUACCGCGCCGCGCUGGAAGUGGCGCUGCGAGACAUGAGAGCCUCUCAGAGGCAGGCCGAAGCGGCGCAGCAGGCGGCGUGGGCCUCCGAGGCCGAGAAGGCGCUGAGGAAGGGCCGCCGCCUCAUGACGACGAACGCCUUCAACGUGAACAUGGGAGCCUCCUCGACGCCACAACAAAACAACACAGGCGAGCCGAGCGUGCCGUCGGUGGUGCCACACAGCCACAAGAAGCUGAGCCAUACCAGCACUGCCAACUCAGCGAUGCGCACAAGCGGCUCCUCGGAAGAUCCCGUUUCGCUGCGCCGCUGCGAGGACAUGGCGCAGCUGCGCAGCAUGCACGAGGCGCGCAUCCGGCACAUAAAGCAGAAGCUCCGCGACGUCCGCAACGCUUGUAAGCGCAGCCUUGCCGCCGCCAAUAUCGUGCUCGACGCGGUGCGUGCUCUGCGCGAGGCACAACCAGCGCCGCCCGUGCAACGCCACCGUGGCCUCUCGUUGGCCGCCCACGACACAGCUGUAAUGUACUACGGCGACGAGGAGCGGGUGGCGGCGCUACAGGACCUCUACGCGGUAUCGCGUGCCACGCUGGUGGGGUUGGCCGAGCACCCUGGUGCACCUACGGCACCCCUGCUGACGCUAGAGCAACUCUCGCGACGGCUGGAGCAGUGCCAAGUAGAAGAAGCGAAGCCUAAGAUCACGAGCGUCAGCAGCUCGCCCGGCCGGCGCAGUCGCUCUGAGGACGGAGAAGAGGGCGACGUGCGCGAGCGGAGCGGGACGGAGGCGGCGCCGUCGUGGGUGUUGCCGUUGCUGUCGGAGGAGGCCUCGCUUCUCGCCAACGUCGCAAAGAAUGCAUGCACGACGUACGGCUACAUAUCUGGCGAGGUGCACGGGCUCCACCUGCAGGUUGUAACCGGGAGCCCACGCUCCCUGCUGCUGCAGAUGAUCCUUGGCUUACUGACCCCUGUUCUGGACCUCUCGAACCACAGUCUACCGCAGAGCAGCGGCCAGGCAACGCAGAGGGCAUCGACACCGGCGACGGCAAAUAGUACCAACGCAACACGGUGCUACGCAGGAGUGCGCAUCGAGGGUCAUGCGUACGCGGCAGCCGGCGCACCCACCGGCACCAGAGACGCCGCGACGCGCGCAGACUUGCCGCAGUUCCAGGUGGUGUCAUCGCAGCUGGGGACGGGUGAGCGGGACCGCGCCGAUCAGGUGCCGGCGGCGAGGCUGAGCAAAGAAGAAGCGCAGCUCGCAGCUCCUGAGCACAAGAGCAGCAACAGCGGCACUGACGCCAUCACGGACGCGCCCCACGCUCAACGAGUUGCUGCUGCUGCGGCGCAGCGGCUGUGGCCUCUCCUGUGGACUGGCGCCUACACGAUUGGGUGCGCCUGGCAGCAGGUGCGUGGCUGGCGCGAUGUACCAACGUUUGCGGAGGCGUGCGAGGAGCGGCAGUCGAUACGGUGUGCAUCCUCCGGUACCCUGAGCAGCAGAGGGGCUGCGCCCCCCUUCACAGAGGAGGCACACACUGUCACUUGCACGACGCUGCUGUUUGCCUCCGGCUUUGAGGAGUACGAAGUGGUGCGUGGAUGUCAUCAUAUGAGUCCGGCAGCGACGCGACGCGUUGUGCAGAGCCCGCCAGUGACGGUGUGCGAUGGCGGCCCGCAGAGCGCCAGCCACGGCGGCAGUAUUGCGGACUCGGUCGAGGCGCGCCGUGCCGCGGUGGACGUGCACUCGACUCUGGGUGUGACACUGCUGACGCCCACCAUGCAUCCAAUGCAUAUACACGCCAGCGACCCGUCGUGCCGCGCUGUCUGCGUGGCUGUGCGUGUGCCUUACACCUCACCAGGCUUCUCCUUCACGCACAGCUCCAUGUGCGCAGGUGAGGAUGGGCGAGUGUGCAGCGGCGGCUGUCGCGAUCCCUCGAUCCGUAUUGUGGCUCAGGUGACUCGUCAGUGCGAGCUGACACCGCCACACCCAACCACGUGCACGGCUGAGGUGCUGACGCAGCGAAGUCCUGUGGACCCAUCUGUUUGGCUGGUGCUGGUUGACACAGCUGCUACCUUUCAACGCCACGCCGCUGCAUUCACGGACAACGACGGUGCCGUCUUGAAAGCAGACGCGUCCCCCGGGACGGGCGCGACGACGAUGUCUGCUGCGAGCGCUGCCGUGCCGCUUGCCCUGCACAUCUACGCAAAGGACAUGAACGACGCGAUGGGCGAGUUCGAACACGUCGCCUUUAUCCGCAUGCAGCAGUACCCACAGCCGCGCGAGGUGAAUGCCGGCGCUGUCGCCAUCGCCGCCUCUGCUACGCCUGCUACGCCUGCUACGCCCGCUCCCUAUGUGCUGAUGGAGCCGGAGUGGCGCUACCUUCUGAAUGGUCUCGCCUGCGUCGCUGCCUCGCCUCUCUCGACGCAGACGGCGACGAGGCUGACCGCUACUUCUCACACGGCGGCGCAGGCAUCUGUGCUUACGAAGGUGGCCAGCGCCACGCCGACCGCGAGGUCGGUGGGGUGGGCCACGCUGCAUGAGCCGCUGCUUGGCAGGGAUGGCGUGUUGCUCUGCCCGCUCUCUGCGGAUCUUCGGGAGUCGGAGCGGUGCGGCGACAUGCUGGAGGCGCUGCGAAUCCGUCAGGAGACGACGAUUAGUGGCAGAGACGGCAAGGCGGCUGGAGCUGCUGGGCGUGUGAUUCGUGUAGCAGUGCAGCUGCCUGCUUAUUCCAAUGUACGGUGGUGGCGUCGGCGCCUGAUGAAGCUGCGUUGCCUACAAGAAAAGCUAACGGAUGAGGUGGUGGCAGAGGGCGACGAGCAAACCGCCGCCUCGACGGCGCAGUCGCCAAGCGCUGCCUGUACACACCAAGACCGCUCACCAGAGUCGCUAGCGGAGGGAUGCCAUCUCCCCGCAACCGAAUUCGCUCCGCCGUCGGAUGAUGGGCAUGCAGACGCGAAGGCCACGCCCCUCGGUGCGAGCAAUGGGUCAGGAGAAGCUGCGACAUCAGCGGCUUCUGUGACGCCGAUCCUUGGAUCUCCGUGUUCAUCCGCGAACCCAGCAGCGAUGGAUGCGGAGGCUGGUGCGGCCGUAGAAGGCUCCUCCUCCGCUGAAGUCGCCUUGGAGCCGCCCAAGGGGAAGGGUUCAGAGAAGAAGAAGGUGAGCAGCGACGGCAAGCGCGAGGCGAAGAGGUCCCCAACCUCGGCUGCAGCAGGUAGCAGUGGAGCGAAGGCGCAGGAUAGACACUCGCCCUCCAACGUCGCUCCUUCCGGCAUGUCAAAGAAGAAAGCGCAGGCGCUGCACAAAGACAGUGACGGCGCCAUAGCGUCUUCGACAGCCGCCGCUACCGCGGCAGCUUCCACGGGAUCCUCCCUGGCACCCACGCAGGCGCGCCUUUGCACGCUGAGCGUUAACACGGCACCCAAGCUUCCCGAGAGCGGUGCGCUGCGCGAGUUCGAGAUCAUGGUGCAGCGUGCUGCAGGUGCCACACUUGUGGCAUCCCGUAGCGGCAGCGUGCAACCGUGCCUGCAGCCGUCGUUAAUCUCCAUCAUCGGCCUUCGAGAGCUCUGCGCGCAGCUGCACACCGACCUGCAGGUCUGGGAGGCGCACCUGAGGCGCGUACGGCCCAUCCUCUGUGGCGAGCGCGACCGCAUAGCGGCGGAGAUAGUGAAGAAGAAGGGGAAGGAGCAACUGCGCCUGCAGCACGACCACGAGGACGUGGUGGGCGAGCUGCAGGUGAUUGAAAGGGGCGUAGCGUCAUUAAAUCAGGCAGCCACGGCGGCCACCGACGCGCUGCGCACACGCGAGCGCACCCAGAUGCUGCGUCGCGCUCGCCUCAUGCGCAUCACUGAAGAGCUGGCCGCCAUCGAGUCCUCGCUACCGAGGUUGGCUCCGAAGGAUACGAGUGACAAGGUGGUAACUGCACCGCUACCGUCAACACCACCGCCGUCUGCAGCGCCGAAAGUGACGCUCCGUUUCUUCAAGACGGAGGGGGUGGCUGCCGGCAGCGGUUGUAAAGCGGCCUUCGCCGUCGCUCGUCCUCCGCAGCACCUGUCCUCACAGCGGGCUGGCGUGCUGGAUUGCACGAUGCGCGAGGGCGCCCCCAAGCCCUCGGAGAGGGAGGCGGGUGAGGUAACGCUGACCCCGCAGCCGUCGUCCGCCCAUGAUGCAACGUCCUCCUCAUCGCCUUUGCAACCGCUCGAAGGCGACGGUAAUAGCGCCGCUGACGUGUACGCGGCGACCUGCUCGAUACCGCUGACGUUUACCGUCUGCGCCACACUUUACAUUGACGGCGAGGUCGCUGUGACGUGGCGAGUGUGAAGUCUCCAUCGCCGCGUAGGCUGCGCUGCCCAAGACAAGUGGAUUGGUUUCUCUCCACGAAUCUGUCGAACGCCCCCACAGCGCGAGAGGGUGAGUGCGUGUCUCUGUGUGUGUGCUUGCGGCUGUCCAUCUGUGGAUCGCAGGCAUGCCGUUAUACCCGUGUACGCACGCUGUCUCUGCGCUUGUGCGUGUUCGCGUUUGCCUGCCCAUGUACUGUUAGGCGUCACCUGCUUUUUCUGGUUGCCUUUUCGGCUUGUAGUUGUUACGUGGCAAUGGACACCUGUGUGCGUGUGCUCAGCAGUCUGUCACGCACCUGCCUCGCCACCGUCUGUCUUGCAUUCUCCUGAUCUUUUUAUUCUUGGCAAACCGUGUGAGGCGAACGUGCAUUGCAUUGUUUCACCUUUUUCCUGUACUUGCUCUUCCUUCCUUCAAGGAGCAGCAGCAAC
rnacentral:misc_RNA from 1 species